rnacentral:lncRNA from 1 species
CCCCUUUUGGGCUAGAAUCGUACAUGUGCAACUUUCCAUCGGAUUGGUCAUGGGCUUGGCCUUAAAAUAUCAAAACUACAAGCAGCCCACAAAUUUUCAUGAGAUUUAUUUCUGGCAAAGCAAUUUAUGAUUCAAUUUUGUAAAUUUUGUAAACGUUUGCAGACUCGGAUAAAGAGCAUGUACAGUAGCACAUCUGUCAAAAGGUUACGUUUUCUGUUUUGGACUUUAGUGAGGCAUACCUGGAAAAAAAAAGAUGAAGCCUUGAGCUUAAAUGUUGAACAAUAAUUAACUAGUAGUUGACGCGGAACCAUCUGAGCAUAAAAAAAUAACAUGAAUAAACAUAAAAGAUGUAUUUCAUUGAGAUCUAUCUAUGGUGUGAUCAAAUGUCCAGGUAGAAAUUGUUCAUGGAAUCUGCGCAGAGUUACAAUGUCGAAAAGGCAUUAUUGGAAGUUAAAUACUCUAUCGUCAAAUCAUAAUUGUUAGCAAAGAUAAUAGAUUUAUGGGAAGUUAAAUUUUGAAUUAGAGAAUUAAUUAAAUAUUUAAAAGCGGUAAAUCUUGGUUUUUCUCGUCGCAAUGAAACUAAAAAAUCAGAAAAAAAACUAUUCUGUUGUUAUACGGAGAAUACUAUACAUGUAGUAUUUAAGUUUAGAUUUAUAAAUAAAAUUGAAUACUCAAAUCUGUUCAAUUUAUAUAUCUUAUAAAUUAAUUUAUUUCAAGUGUACUCUUUGAGCAUGUGUAUAUCAAAUUAAAAUUUGUAAACAUAUCCCAAUGAAAUCCAUCUUUCUUUGAGGUAGUGAUAAAGUUGGAAAUUAUAUUUUGAGAGAUGAAAUGAAAGAGAGUGAGUGAGAAUAGAGGCCAAAGUAUUAUUGAUCUACAAUAUUAUUCAAACACUUUUUAACUAUUUUUCAUUCGUGCCAUUCAAUAAUUGAUGGUAACCAUAUAUGUUGCAUAAAUGCCCAAGAUUAAUAUAAGUUGUUAUUUAUUACUUUUGUUUAAAUUAUAUAAAUAAAAAUAUUACCAGAAAAAAUUAUUUUAAAAAAUCUUUAGGGAUCUUUGGUUGAUACUCGAAGUUAAAAAAAAAAAAUCAUGCCAUAUAUCACCGAAAGAUGACUUCAUUUAACCAUGAUUGUUAGAAAUUAACAAUAUCAUGACUUGGGAUACAUAUCACGUACACUUUUUUUUCCUACAAUUAGAAAACGGUAAAUGGUUUGAACAAUAAACCUGAAAAUUAAUGAUAUCAUGACUAAAUUUGAUAAUGUUUAUCUAAAGUUUUAAUUAGAAAACCUAUAAUGAGCAAUUAAAGUAAAGUUUUAAUUAGAUAUAACUUUAACUCCCUCUAAUGUGCAAUUAUGGAGUUGGAUUUUGCUAAACAAAUAUAUAUACUUAUCUUUAUAGAAAAUUUAGGUUUUUUUUUUUUCCCAAAUUUGAUUUUAAGAUAAAAUUUAAUUAGAGGAUAAACUUAGAAAAUUUGAUUUUGAAUGAAUCAUGGUUGUUAAAAUUUAGAUAUUUGAAGAUUUUUCGCUUAUUAGGAUUCAGGACACCCUAUAUAUAUUAUAAUUCUUUAACCACAAAAUCAAAAUCAUUUUCAGCUUCAAUUUGCAAAGAUGUGGAAUACUUGCAUUCUUGUUGCUGCUUUAACUUUUCUACUGUUAUGCACAAGCUUGGCAAUACAGGUUGAUUAUGAUUCCAAUGCCAUGAUCAUCGAUGGACAACGAAAGCUUAUCUUUUCUGGUUCAAUUCAUUACCCACGUAGCACCCCAGAGGUAUUUUUGUUUUCUGUUUACUGAAUCCCAUCAAUGCUUUGAUCUUAAUUACACCAUCGACUUCCAACUUUUAUAUUGAAGAUUUAUUUACAUGAAAUUAUUGUUUUGUUCACUCUACAGAUGUGGCCAGACCUCAUACAGAAAUCUAAAGAUGGUGGUCUUGAUGCAAUCGAUACAUAUAUCUUCUGGAACGUUCAUGAGCCUCGCCGCCGUCAAGUGAUAAUUUGUUCAUAUACUCCUGUAUUUGUAAAUAAUCAGGCACUAAUCUUCCAAUGCUAACUUGUUUUUCACCCUUAAAAACAGUAUAAUUUCGAGGGAAAUCUGGACUUCAUAAAGUUUUUCAAGCUAGUUCAACAAGCUGGACUAUACGGAAUCUUGAGAAUAGGCCCUUACGUCUGUGCUGAAUGGAAUUAUGGGUAAGUCAUUUUCUUCUUCAACUGAUAAAUUGCAACAUUCUUUUCCCUGUAGAAGAAUGAAAAAAUUUUCCCUCUUUUGGUAUUAAUAUUCUUUAUACUGUGUGCAGGGGCUUCCCUGUGUGGCUACACAAUAUUAACGGAAUUGAAUUUAGGACAGAUAACGAAAUAUUCAAGGUUAGGUCCCAAGAUUUAGUAGUGAUUUUUAUUCACUCUCUAGUCUCUAUAUCUAAAAGAAGAAGAAAAUUCAGAACAUCUGAUUUUCAACCACUUUUAUCUUUCAAAUGCAGAAAGAAAUGCAAAUUUUCACGACCAAGAUUGUUGACAUGUGCAAAGAAGCAAAACUGUUUGCCUCACAAGGAGGACCCAUCAUUUUAGCACAGGUAAAUUUGAUCUCAUUCUUAUUUGUAUCUGUAAGUGUUGCCAUUGAUAUUAAUUUUGAGCUCUUCUAACGAAGUUGGACGUUCUUUUUUUCUAUUACGAUAGAUUGAGAACGAGUAUGGAAAUAUUAUGUGGGCUUAUAAAGAUGCAGGGAAAGCAUACGUCAAAUGGUGUGUGGAGAUGGCUUUAGCUCAGAAUAUUGGAGUCCCUUGGAUUAUGUGCCAGCAGGAUGAUGCUCCACCGCCCAUUGUAUUCAUUUUUGCUCUUUUUUUCUGUUCUUUUUAAUCCUUUUUAAUUAAUUUCAAAAUGGUGAGUGUUGUUUUCUCGUACAGAUUAACACAUGCAAUGGGUAUUACUGUGAUUCGUUUACUCCAAACAAUACCAAGAGCCCCAAAAUGUUUACUGAAAACUGGAGUGGAUGGUAUUUAAUUAUCUUGAUUUCCUUUUUUUAUUUCCUUUUUUUGUUGUUUCUUUCCAUUUUCUGGUUAAACUCCAUCUAUUCUCAAUUCAUUAUGUGGAGCCUUGAACUUCAAUUUUCCAUUUUAGGUUCAAGAAAUGGGGCCAGAAAGACCCUCACAGAACUGCAGAAGAUUUAGCCUAUUCAGUUGCUCGCUUUUACCAAGCCGGUGGAGUGUUGAAUAACUAUUAUAUGGUUUGGACCUAUUCCUUUGUUGAACUUUCCCCAUUCUUUUCAGUCAAGUGAAUUGUGAUGUCUGCUUCUUCUUUACUCCUAUAUAUCGUUUUAUCAAAUACACAGUACCAUGGAGGAACAAACUUUGGACGCACAUCUGGAGGGCCAUUCAUUACAACAUCAUAUGAUUAUGAUGCUCCCCUCGAUGAAUUCGGUAAGUAUAGAACAAUUUUCCAGGUCCAAAUAAAAAGAAAAAAACCUGUCUAAUGGAAAUUCAUGGUGAUACUCCAACUUAGUUUCGUUUAGCUUUAACAAAUAAAUUGUUCAUAUUAGUUUCAUCAAGUCACCAAACAAGUCUAUCUUUUUUCAGGAAACUUAAACCAGCCAAAAUGGGGACAUCUUAAACAACUUCACGCGGCUAUUAAAUUGGGGGAGAAGCUUCUCACUAGUGGCAAAGCAAUGACAAAGGUUUACGGUAAUGGAAUUCAUGUAAGUGAUAGAACUUUCAUGAAAUGCUUGACCAUGUAUAUUCAUAGCAAAAUGAAAUUGGCUGAUUUGAAUUCAACUUCUCGCCAGUUGACCACAUAUAGGAACGAUGAAACUGGGGAGAGAUUCUGUUUCUUGAGUAAUAACCAAACAGAAGAGGCAAAUGUUGACUUGCAACAAGAUGGCAAGUUCGUUAUUCCGGCUUGGUCUGUUAGUAUUCUUGGUGGCUGCAAGAAGGAGAUUUACAACACUGCAAAGGUAAAAUCACCAGGUUAUCAUUUUCAUGUUUAUUUCUCUUCAAAUGGCCACGAAAUUUGCUGCUUAGGCUCUUUUUCUUUUUUUUUUUUUUUAAAUUUGUCCACAGGUUAACACACAGACCUCUAUAAUGGUAAAAAAACAAAUGGAUAAUGAAGACGAAGCUGCUAAAUUAUCCUGGGUGUGGACUCCCGAAUUCACGAAAGAUACCCUCCAUGGUAAAGGUAGAUUUAGAGCUAGGCAGCUUAUUGAACAAAAAAGAGCUACUUCUGAUGUUAGCGACUACUUGUGGUACACGACUAGGUAAUCUCCAAGGCACGUUGUUGUGCUUUAUGGUGAUUCAGUCUGUUAGGAAUGGAAUACAUCCCAAUUUGUUUUGUUGUUGUUAUUCAUUUAACACAGUGUUGACAUUAAUGGAACAACCUGGAACAAUGCGACGCUGUUUGCAAAUUCAUCUGGGCAAGUCCUUCAUGCAUAUGUGAAUGGGAAGCUUAUAGGUAACUUCUUACCAUCCAAGGCAAAUAAAUAUUUUCUAGUGUUCAAAUGAUAAUCAGAAUUCAUUUAAUUUGUUUAAGCUUUUUACAGGCUCUCAAUCAGGAUACAAAUUUCAGUUCCAAAACCCAGUUUCAUUAAUACCUGGCAGAAACAUUUUAACUUUCCUCAGUGUCACAGUUGGGCUACAGGUAGGCAGCCUAAUAUGGUAGAGGCAUGAUUAACAUGAAAUUUUCACUAGUCUGCAUUAAUUGUAUGAUUCAUAACUUAACAUUUGUGUAAGCUACCGAUUUUAAAGACUGAGCUAUGCUAAUUGCACUCUAUUUUUUAUUCUUACCAUAACCGGGGCAGAACUAUGGAGAAUUUUUUGAUUUGGGACCAGAAGGAAUAGCAGGAGGUCCAGUUCGAUUGACUGACAACAAGAAUGCUACUACUAUAGACUUGUCAUCAUUUACUUGGAAUUAUAAGGUGUUUCUCGAAAGUAGAAGAAUUAUAAUACCUCAAUUACACAGCAUUCUAUACAAACUAUGAUUGAAACUCUCUCUUUUUUUUUUUUACUUGGAUAAAGAUUGGGUUGAAUGGUGAAGCCAAACGACUUCAUGAUCCAAAAGCUCCUCAUGCUCGACUAUGGAGGACCUCAGCAGAACUUCCCAUUGGCAGGCCUAUGACUUGGUACAAGGUAUUUAAUGAUUCACAUUAGAACUUCCGUUUCGUGUUGAAUUAAUAAUCUGAUAAGUGAUAUGAUACCAAUUUUGGUUUUUGCCGAAAUAGAAAAGGAGAUCUAUAAUUCAAACUUCCUUUGAAUUGUUUUGUUGUUUAGACCACUUUCAAAGCUCCGUCAGGAACAGACCCUGUAGUGGUGGAUUUACAGGGCAUGGGCAAGGGGCAUGCCUGGAUAAAUGGAAACAGCAUUGGCCGCUUCUGGCCUGCAGAAAUUACUGAUAGUAAUGGCUGCGAUGGCGAAUGCGAUUAUCGUGGGAAAUACAAAGACAAUAAAUGUUUGUCAAACUGUGGCAAUCCUUCACAAAGAUGGUAUAAUGCCAUCAUUCAUGUAUCAGUGGAUUAGCAAAUAAUAAAGCCCAAAGCGUAAAACUAAAUACGUAAAAUUUGUAUCAGGUACCAUGUUCCGAGAUCAUUCCUUGCUAGUGACAGCAACACGUUGAUUUUGUUUGAGGAAAUUGGUGGAAAUCUUUCACAAGUGUCUUUCCAGACCGUAACUGUGGGUUCAAUUUGUGCAAAUGCAAAUGAAGGCAACGCAUUGGAACUAUCAUGCCAAGGAGGCCAAACCAUCUCUCGUAUUAAAUUCGCCAGCUUUGGUGAUCCUCAGGGAAAAUGUGGCUCAUUGCAAAAAGGCACUUGUGAGGCAGAUGUAAGCCUGUCUGCUGUGGAAAAGGUAAUUAAGACAGUUUUCUUGGCAUCAAGAUUCUUAUUAUAUAUAUUUCCAUAUUCAAAUAAAUAAAGUAAAUAAAUAUACUCCUGUCUUGCAGGCGUGUGUUGGGAAGGAGAGUUGUGCAAUUGAUGUCUCAGAAGCAACAUUUGGAUCAUCAAAGUGUGGCAACAUUACAAAGAAGUUAGCUGUGGAAGCCAUUUGCUAGAAUGAACUGUUCUACCAGAGAAAUAAAAGAAAAAGUUGUAUUUUAUGAAAAACUAACUGCUUCUUAAUUAUUUAAGAAAGCAGAAGCAAUCUAGAAAUCAUUUAUUUUCCUGUUCUUGUAUGAUUUGUAUUACGAGUUCAUUUUCCAUAAAAGCAAGUAGUUGGCAAAAUUGUGUCAAAAAGCUGCCAUUCCCAAAUCACUCAAAUUUAAUUUUCACUGUGUCGUCGUCUACCAGAUAAAGGAGUGGUAGCAGGAAACCAAUAAUUGACGGAAUUGUCCCAAGCCUUUAGCCUAGAGUUAAAGGCCAUUGAGGGGACAUUAAAGGCUUAGUUUUGAUUCUUUGGAACCAAGCUUUCCCCUCCCCCCUUCAUUAUACUAGGGCUUUGCCCUCCGAUAAACAAAAUAAUAAUAAUAAUAAUUAAUGGGAUUAGUAGGGAAUAUUACAGUUUAGCUGUAGAAAGAGUUGGUAUUCAGUAGAUCGUCUUCUUUAGCUCAAUUCAAGUAGUAGUUUUUGGCAACCGACUUCUGAUUAAAUGGUCUGUCAAAAGAAUUACAAAUCAGAACGUGGUAGUUAUCAUUUACCUCAAAUCAAGUUGUAUAAAUCUCCAUGUACUCUGUUGGACCAUGUUUGCUCAUUUCUCCAAGGCUAUAUUAUAUCUGGACAAAAGCACAAUUAAUAACAUCCAAUAUGACAAAAAAUGCCAAGGCUUCACUGUGUUGUGCUUAUAAAUCUUAGACCCUUUAGGGUCCCAAUCUCGACUCAAACUCAAUUAAAGAGCUGUCCAAAAUUUUGUUCACCAACACGUUAUUUCUCUUUCUUGUUUAUGGGAUGGGUCCGAUGGAUGGAUUUUGGGGUUUCCGCCCCUUGAAAAGGCCGCUCUUCACUCUUUAUUUUCGCCCGUUAAAAUUGGAUAAUUCUUUUACAUCGGCCUAAAAAACUAGGCCGACACCUUUCCUUCCAGGAUUCCAAAUUCCGAAAGACCCCCGGCCCUUUUUUUUGGUUUAAAACAAAAUACAAAAAGCUCUAUGGUUCUAAUUAUUUUGUGUAAUAUUUAUUCGUACACUAAUUAUUUUUACUACUCAAAAAUUACGUGAAGAAUAGCUGAUGCGAGGAAUAAUAAUUUUCCAAAACAAAAAGGAUAAGGGAAAGGUAAACAGAGAAAAGAGGCUUUUUUUCAGGUCUCCUGCUGAAGAGAGAAAAAAUCAAAGUCUCUCUCUCUCUCUCUCUCUCUCUCUCUCUCUCUCUCUCUCUCUCUAACUAUGAGCCUCUUCGGUCUGGGCAGGUGAGAGUGAUAACUUCAGCUCUUUUUUUUUUUUUUAAUUUCUCUUAAACGCUUUAAUUCGUUUCCUAUCAAUUACUCUUCUUUUCUUUAACUUUAUUUUUCAUAUUUGCAAUGUUGAGUUGAUAAAUUAUGUCAAAUCUGUUAUAAUUCUGUAGCCUUUUUCCGAUUCAAGAUCAGCAAUGAACUCUUCUUUUUGUCUUCAUUAACUUUAAUUAAAUUCUUAAAAUCUGUUAUCUAUCUUCCUAUUUUUCCUCCCUGCAAUCCAAUUGCUUUGUUAGGCUAUGGUUAAGCUAAAUUCUUAAAGCUUUUUGUUGUUAAAACAGUCCAAUCAUGUUGAUCAUCAAUUAUGGUUUUUGCAUAUAUGUUAAUAAAAUUGAAGUCUAUAUAUUUACGAUAGUGACUCUUAAUGCAUGUUGAACUUGUCUUGAUGUUCUGUUUGCUUAUAAUUAGAAAGGUCCAAAAGGUGAACAUAGUUUAAAUUAUUGAUUUUUUUUACCUUAAAGUAGAUGGCUUUAAGCUUUGCUUCAUGAAGAUGAAUUUAUGGAGUGAGUAGCCAACUUCAUCUGUUGACAAUUUGCUGCCACUGUUAGAAGACUAAUGGUGGCCGACUGAAGUCCAGAAAAUUGAAUUAACAAGAACAAACGUAAAAGGAAUGUACAAAUGUAGUCUAAGGAAAGCUAAUUAAUUUGCCUAAAAUCAAUUUAUUAAUCAGGUUCAAAGGAUGCUGGAGAUCCUCCAUAGUUUUCAGUAAGAUAUGAGCUCUGGCUUUCUAUCUUGCUCUCUGUCAAGCCCUAUGUAUCCAUGUAUGUGUGACCAGUUUGUUCACUAUGUCAAGAAGUUUUUUUUUUUAAAUCAUGCAUGAAUUGAGUUCCUCUAAACUAUGUUACCUUGAAUCUUUAUCCUAAUGUACCUUGCUGUACAAAUAUGAAAUGCAUUGGAUGUAGAUGAGCUUUGUGUAUGAUCCUCCUAAUAUAUGGAACAAGUUGUUAAAAUUUUAACCAAUCCAUGUUGCAUGUGGGUAUAUUUCUGAGACCUACUCCCAAGUCUGAUCAGCAUAGCUGGUAAAUAUUUGUGUAUCUUUUCAGUUGAUGCAUGUCCCUGAUAAUAAAUUGCUCUGAAAACAGAAAUCAGCGAACAUUCCGCCCGAAAAAAAGUGCACCUUCAGGAAGUAAGGUUGGUUACUUUUGUUCCCUCUUUUGUCUUUAAUAGAAAACAUAAAUAAUAUUGUUCAUCUCCUGCUUGUUAGAAUUUGAUGUGAUAGGCUCUCUUUACCUGUGCUUGAAUUGUUUUGAUUAUUAUUGUAACCUUCCCAAUUUUCCCAUUGGGAAAUAAUUUUUUUUCCUCUUUUCGAUGACUAAGAAGUUCUUGGGUGUGAGCAUGCGUUUUUAGCACACUGGAAGUAUUCUAGAAAGUGUCCAGAAGUAGAAACAAAAUAAAAGCAAGCAUAACAUAACACCUAAUAUCUAAUGCAUCCAAAAAUCCUAAAAAAAGCCCUGGAAAGUUGUCUUUGAAAAAAAUAAACUCCUGAAUCCUUGAUUGAAUGCCUUUUGCUGAUUCUUCUACUUCUUGGUUUUUCAUCCACUUAAAUGGUUGCCUUUAUUUCUGAACCUUGUUAUUUUUCUCUUUCUAAAGUAAGAAUUCACUUCACCAAACCUAUCAAGAAAAGAAGAAAAAAAGCUCACUUUAUCAUUAAUAUUUUUAUUUAAUAAAUUUUGUUGCUUUUGAAGUCAUGUCUUAAAUAAUAACUUUACGUUACGGAAUUUUACUUAAAUUUUCAGUGGCAUUGAAAUCUACAAAUUUCAAUGCUCUACUGACAUGCAUGACGAUCAUACAGCCCCACCUGUGGGACCCACCCAUGGAUGUUAGAAGGCGUUCUGUACACGUACUACAUGUGAUAAUUCUUUUACUAAAUGGAAAUCUAUGUCUAAACAUGGUUAGUACUACUGUGUGGUUGAGCUUGACAAUAAUUGAAUAGCCUUUUUGUGCUUUCUCUCCAGUUCUUGUGAGCUGGCUUCUUUACAGUGUCUUUAUAUAAAAUGUUUUCUGGACUUCAUUCUGCUAUGUUAGUGGCUUAGAAGAAUUUGCAGUUCUCAUCCCAGUAUUGUAAUCUUGACAUAAUGCAGGGUGCACAGCUUAAAAAGCACAUUGAUGCCACUCUGGGCAGUGGGAACCUAAGGGAAGCAGUAAGGCUACCUCCUGGGGAGGAUUUAAAUGAAUGGCUUGCAGUCAACAGUACCUCUCGCUCGCUCUCUUUCUUUCUUACUCACAUACACUCGGCACACACCUACGCAAACAUUCUGUAUUAAUCCUUCUAUAUAUUUGUGAAACUGUUUAUAUAACUUAUCCAUGAAUAUUCUACUUUAGUAUGGCCAUGCUGUUUACUUACUGGUAUAACUGCUACUUUAUUUAUAUUCCAUUCAUUAGCUGAUUUUUUUUAGAGUGUUUUAGUAUGUUUUCUUCCCUAUUUCCAGGUUAUUGCCAAAUUUUCUUUGAAUCUCAUUGCUAAAGUGUAAUUGUUGAAUCUUUUUCAGCUGUGGAUUUCUUCAACCAGGUGAAUUUGCUCUAUGGUACCCUCACAGAGUUUUGUACUCCUGAGAACUGUCCUACAAUGACUGCAGGCCCUAAGUAUGACAUAUCAAACCAGAUCCCUUUUCCCUUUUCAAUAAAUUAGUUAUACAAAUCCUAAAUUUUAAUAUUUCAGCAUGCCAUAUAACCUGUUAUGUUUGGAUAACCUGGUAUCAAAAGUAUUUCUCUCAAAUGAUGGAUCAUUAAGUUUAUAUGGAUAUCAGGAACCUUGACUUAAAUUUAGAUCUUUAACUCUUUGAAACAGACACAUAACUGCAUUGCUUUAUUUUUGCUACAAAAAUAGAUAUAUAGCUUGCUAAUGCUAUUGAAUUAUGAAGUCAAGCUAUUUAAUAUAAUCUUGUCUGAUAAGUGGGACGAGAGUGAGACUAUGCAUCAUUUUUUCAUAGAUUUGAUUAGUAUGUGGUGAGAUUUUUAUUUUUAUUAUUAUUAAUUCACCUUAGCCUUUUGUAAUAAUUUAAAUUUGCCUUACUUUUUCAAAGGUCUGUAGAAGACUUCGAAUCUGUUGUAGCCAGAAUUGAUCUAAGAGUCAAAGUCCUUGUAGUCAUUUGAUUCUGUCAAAUAAUUAGAACUUGUGCAGAAUGUAACUAUGAAAAUUGGAUCAUCUUCCUUCCCAAAUUACUGUAAAUUUUUUGUUUUCAAGAUUGGUUCUUGUACCUUUUGCUGCCUUAUCAAUCAAUUUAAUCAUUCCAUACUUAUGUGUAUGCACCCUAAUUUAGUCUACUCAUUUUUAAAUAUCUUUCAAAGUAUAUAUCUUGGGUUUUCUGGAGUUGAUGAUUUGCUGUCUUACAAAACUUUACAGGUAUGAAUAUAGAUGGGCAGAUGGUGUGCAAAUCAAAAAACCUAUUGAGGUUUCUGCUCCAAAAUACGUUGAAUAUCUAAUGGAAUGGAUUGAAGCACAGCUUGAUGAUGAAUCCAUAUUUCCUCAAAAGCUUGGUAAAAUCUUCAUAAGUCAUGUGCUUAAUCAUCUUAAUUCUUUGUGAUGAAGUCUGACAUAUUGUCAUCUAGAGAAAGAUAGUUAUUUAUCUACGUAUGAUAGCAUCAAUUGAUGAUUAACUUUUUCUAAUAUUUAUACUUGUCCAAAAAAGAAACGAAAUUAUUAUGUCUUGUAUCUAUGCUAAAUACUUUCCUAUAUUUAAUUGCAUAUUUCAAAUUUGCUAGGUGCACCAUUUCCUUCCAACUUCAAGGAAGUGGUGAAGACAAUAUUCAAAAGAUUGUUCCGUGUAUACGCCCACAUCUAUCACUCUCACUUUCAGAAAAUUGUGAGCCUUAAGGAGGAAGCCCAUUUGAACACAUGCUUCAAGCAUUUCAUACUGUUUACUUGUGUAUGUCUUCUUCUGCUUGAUAAUUAUUUUUUUUUUAUUCGCUGUCCUCUUGUUCAGGGGAAACCUCUGCCACUAUUUUUCUAUUUAUACAAAUGUCAAUAAAACCCAGUAGUUUAUCUACUAGUACUACUAAAUAACAGUAGUUGUGUUGCAUAGUUCAAAUUUGCUGCAAUAUGGUUAGUUUUACUCAUUCAUUAAACCUUUCUCCUUUUUUUCACGAGUAGUAUUCAAAGUUUCCUUUAUCUAGGGAUGCUCUUAUCUAUAGAAUUUGCUUGUUUUGCUUUGUGCAUAAUCUGAUAAACCAAAUUCAAAGGUGAAAGGGGAAAAGAGGGAAGAGAAAGAAGAGGAUAGGGAGGGUGGAAGCAAUUCCCUUAAACUACGGGAGAAUAGCUUAAAGAUGUUUGAUGCAACUUCUAGAACAACUAGGAGACGGUUUUUUUAAACCACAAAGGGUAUAAGUGUAAGCUUGCCAUUAUUUUUUUUUUCUAGCAGACAUGGUUUCUUGUCACAUGUAUCAUGGUUUUCACAAAAGAACCUGUUAUAGUCACAAAGCCCAGAAUAUGGUUUUAGUUGUGAAAUGAGAGAGGCUAAUUUUUUUUUUUUUUUUUCAUUUUGUUCUUUCUUAAGUACCAAGAGGGGGUAGUACGGCUCAAAUUUAGGAUAUUUACCCCAGACCUCACCUACUAACUACCGGAGUUAAGUGAAGGUGGUAAGGGUUGAAAUGUUUCGUUAAAUCUCUGAAACAUGCUUUCUACAAUGCAAGAAUGCUUAGUUAACUGGUAAGUUGUGAGGUUAAUUGAGUUUGUUGUUGUGUUGCAUGUGCAGGAAUUUGGGCUGAUUGACAAGAAAGAGCUGGCUCCACUUCAAGAGCUCAUAGAAUCCAUCAUAGUCCCCUACUGAGUAUAUAAUAUAGGGUUGGAGGUCCUGAGAAAGAUUUUUAUUUUAGGGAUGCAAAAGUAAGACUGUUUUAGUAUUUGACAUAUAAAGUUCUCUAUUUCUCUAUGUUCUCAAACAUUGCAGGGAUUAACAUUGUUUUUCUUUCUUUUUGGAUGCAUAGAUCAAGCAAUUGCAAAAAGCGAGUAGCUUUUCCUGAAAGUAAUGAAAGCCUUAAUUUCCAUCUAGUCGUUGCCAUUUUUGUUAUUUGUGCUUAUAGUUUGAUGAAUGGGUUUUUUCUUUUUUCUAAAAGAUUAUACUAUCCAAUUGUUUUUGCGUGGUCUUUGGUACUAUUACUUUUUAUAAAUUAAAAAUGAUAUUAAUGCUAGUAUUACAGAUAAGAAAAGUAGUAUUCUAUUUCAAAGUUGUUUUCAUAAUAUAUUUUUGGUUUAGAAAAUUAGAGAAACACUGAAAAUUGCUGCUGGGUUUUUAUCUUUGUGUUGCCAUUAUUGAAUGAAUCUCUUUCAAAUUAAUCAUAGAAGAAGAGGAAGAACCUUUCUACUAAUUCCAAGGAAGAUAAUAAUGGUAGUAAUCUCUAACAGAAAAGCAUGACCAUGAGCUCUCUAUACGACUUACUAUAAGCACUUUUUUAGACAAUCCAUAAUUGGGAAAGGGGGGACAGGAUUUGAUUUGAGAACAAUAGUGGCGCCAAUCACCAUUGGCAAAGGGAAUUACGAUGACCAGAUCACUAGGCCGAAUGCUUGUGGUCGAAGAGGAUGGUAGCUGGGCUAACCAUCUCGGACAAAAGUCGAGAAUGAGAUAGCAAGGAAAGUUAACCAUAGCCAGAAUGAAAACAAGAAUAUUGAAUUCAGAUGUAGUUGAUUUUUGUCUUUGUAGAUCACAUCAUUAUUCCUGUUGAUUCUGAUGAACUGAUUUGAUAUGAAUGCCUGUGGUCGCUAAGUUACAUGUAAAACCGAGUACUUCUCGAACAAUGUAAAGUCAAGUCCUUCCAAUCAAUCAUGUUUACCCCCCCCCCCCCCCCCGGAAUAAAUAUGGACCGUAAACCUGUGAAAUAGCAGAGAAGUACUCCUGUCAUUAUAAACAGCAGAAGCAUAUGAAGAUUUUGCAAUGGCAUUUUUAAAAUGCAUUAACUUUAGAGAAAGACAAGAUUGUCCAUUUUCCUUUCUACUUAGAAGUGGCUCUUUUUUAUUUCAACCAAUACCAGCUAAAGGUAGUACCUUCAACGGAAAUGCAUUGAAAGAGAAUGAACAAUAUGAUCAAAAUUAAUUUAAAUUCAGAGUUUAGACUGCAUGCCCUGAUUCAAUCUCAUUCUUAUCUAUCCUCAUCUGAAUUCAUGGUUCCAAGAUCAGAAUUCCCGUAUCUGGAAGCAGCAAAACCAUAUGAUCCCAAAACAGCAACAAGGACACCCAGUACCAGAGAGAAGAGCUGGAAGUUAGCAAGCAACUCGCCUCGAACCUCACUAUCUGCUGGAUAGCAAUAGAUUGCAUUUCCCUUGAGCCGACAACCAUCUGGCAUCACGGGGCCAUAGAGGGUGAAAGCAUUCUGAUAGAACCAGAGGCCUUGGAGAGUUAUAGCAAUUCCACUACACAAAUCAACUGGGAAGCUGUGUGGCAAGAGAGCUCCACCAACAGUGGUCAAAAUGCAAAGUCCUAUUAGAAGGACAAGCACAAGAUGGUAGUACCCCCGAGGCCAUUGUGAGUGGUUGAGUGAAAGUAGAAUAGCAGAUACUCUGCACAGAAUGCUGUGGCCGCAAUAAGAGAAAGGGCUCCUUGUGGUGUGGAAAGAAAACUGAACAAGAAUAGAUUCCAACGAAGAUGGUUGUAAAGUUAGCUAUAUUUGACAAUAAAUGGCAGAAUAUCAAUAUUUGCAUGAUCAAUUCCAAAUGGUUAAGUGGAAGUUAGAAAUGACAAAGUAUUUAUUUAUGAGAUAGAAUAAACAUUUUGUAAUCAAAUAACCAUGAUUUCAGACAUAAAGAAAUUAUAAUACUGACUUUUCAUGAUAAGAAUGAAAUUUACUUUUGAUGCACUAGACAUGCAUUCAUUCCCCAAAAUUAAAAAGGAAAAAGGAAGACACAAAAUCAACUGUCUAUGCAAAAUCUGCUGCUUAUAGAACCUUUAUAACUUCCACCGUCCAUUCCCCUAUGGCUUUAUGCCUCUUAUGGAAUCAUUACCAUCUGAUUACAUUCUUUCACAGUCAGAAAGCAGCAACUCCACGUGGUUAGAACUCUGCAAUUAUGACUUGAUAAACAGUCUUGCCUUUCAAAACAUUACUGAUUUAUCAAGUAAACCAGGGCAGAGACUGCCUAGUUCACAUCAAAUGUUCCGUCAAAACUCAAAAGCAUGCUAUAGAAAACUAGGGUUUUCUUUCUUUUUUAAAUUCUAUUCACUAUAUAGGAAAAGCAGAAACGUUCUCAUAAAUGCAUUUUGCCAUUACUGUGGUGCUAAUCAGAAGCCAAACUCAAGAAGAAAAUCAAAAUGAUGUGAACUAUACUCAUGUAAACCAGAAAAUUCAUCUUUGCUCAGCCCACAGCCCCUGAAAAAUAAGACAGAUGUCAUGCAUAGAAGCAUUUGAAUGUUAAAAUCAAUAAUGCUUUAAUCUAAAACUAGCGAAAAUUAAUCCUAAUAUACUACAAAAGCGAAAAUUAAAUACUAUAAAUGAGAUUUUUAUCUUCACAUAUCAUUUUUUUUUAUUAAUCCUAAUAUACUAAAGCUGAGCUGGCUUUAAAUUAAAAACACAUGAUAACUUUUAUAUUUUUGUAUAAAUGUGAAUGUAGCAUGAAAAUACGUGAAUUUUAUAUUAAUUUUAAUAUUAAAAUAAUAUUGACGUUUUCAUAUUUAUAUAUUAUGGAGAAAAUAAUUAUUUGCUAUUUAAAAAAUAAUGAAAAUAUCCAUCAUUUCAAGUUAAUAUUUACAAUGCAGGUUCAAAUAAAUUUAUUAUUAGGAUUUAUUUUUUUGCCAAUGGUUAUUAUUUAUUCAAAACAUUUUUUUUGAAUUAAUUUUUAUUUAUUUUCUUACUCAAUUUAAAAUCAUUAAAUUUUAAUUAUAAAUGAAUUUUAUAUCUUAGAAUUAAAUAAUGAAUAUUUUUAUUACUUUUUAAAUAAUAAAAAUAAUCCUUGCCCAGUUUAUUAUCCUAUAUUCAACUACCAUUUAUAUACCUUUAUUACUCCGAUUUCAGUCAUGGUUGACUAUUUAUAGAGUCCUGUCUUUAUUUGUAUCAGUAUUAAAGUAAUUUAUGUAUACAAUAAUACAAUCUUUAUUUAUCCUUUUUUACACAAUCAUCACUGUAUUCCUCUAAGAUAUAUUUACUGUUUAAUCUAUAAUUUGUUGAAAGUUGUAAAUUAUCAAAUUCCAAAAAGUUGUUAAUAUUUUUUGGGAAAAAGGAAAUAACAGUAAAAUUGAAAAAAAAAAUCGAAAGAAGAAGAAAAUCUUUAUAGAAAAUGACAUGUUUAGACGUUCUAGGGUAACGUGCCCGUGAUUAAUCAUUGUGUACAAACAAUUUUAUAUGCUGACACUGAAAGAUCCCAAGACGCAGAAGGAUAUUUACGUAAUCUCAUGCUUAGCAGCUAGGACUUCCUUGAAAUUAACCUAUUUACCAGGGGCCACAACAUUUCCUUUUUGUCAAACCAACAAUCAUAUUCUCAGAUCCAGCCCGGAAAGUAAACGUUGAAGUCAGCCCCCCUAUUUCAAAUUUGGCAAAGCGUCAGCGGUUCUAAAGAUACUUCAUUCCCCACUCACCCAAUCAUAAUCAUCCACGUGACAUUGUCCUCGUCUGCCCUCCGCUUUUUUCGCACUGACGUGGGAUCUCUCAAAUCCCGUCCGUUGGAAUCUUUCCUCAAUUGCCCUGCAGCCUUACCACUCCUCCCCUCCUACUUGCGUCGUCGUAUUUCCCAAGGCGCAUCUCCAAUAACCGCCACCGUCGCCCGCUUAGAUAUCUAUCUCCCUAGAUUUCCCAUUUUCCAAAAUUAUUGACGAAAUAAAAUAAUAUUCUUUUUAUUUUUUUCUGCCACUUUUACUUAUAUUAUAUAAAUAAUAAUUAAAAAUCCGUCUCUCUCUAUAAAAUUCCGUUUUUCCACUGUAAACUUCACUUGAUCCUGCUUUUUCUUGUCUCUUUCUCUUUUGUUUUUCUUUUCUUAAGUUUACUACUUUUUAUUGCCGCUUUUUUUUUCUUAUCUCUUCAUUGUAAUAUACAAAAUAAAAUUUCGCUUUUGUGAUUCUUGUUCACCGCAAUGUGGAAAUCAAAUUCUUGGCACACUUCAAAAAUAAAAAAUGAAAAUUAGGAAUCAUUGAUUCGCCGGUUUGUAGACUUCGACGAUAAAGUGAGAGACGAUUAAAGAUCAAAUGACUUAGGCGGCAGUGAUCUCGCGGAAGCAAAGAUUGCCAUCUAAGCUUCCGAUUUUGCAUAGUAAGUUGGAAAUUCGGUUUUUGUUGGUGGAUUUUGAGAGGGCAGAAAUGUCGAAGGUGGUGUACGAAGGAUGGAUGGUGAGAUAUGGAAGAAGGAAGAUCGGGCGAUCCUUCAUUCACAUGCGAUAUUUCGUGCUCGAAAAUCGGCUUCUGGCUUACUACAAGAGAAAGCCACAAGAUAAUCAGGUUUUUACUUACUUUUGUUUUAGUGUUCGUAAUUUUCUGUAGGCAUUGUUUAGGUUCUUAAAUUAAACAUGUUUUUGAAGUAUUUUAUAGUUUUUUUAAAGUUUAAUUUUCCUUUAUUUUUUAGGUCGGAGAAGAGAGGAAAGUUGUUUUUAGAAUGUUAAAUUAAGUGCAAUUCGGUUUGAUUUAAUUUAAUUUUUAGUAAUGGAACUUGUACGGUUGAUGCUGCUAUGCUUUUAGUAAAAGCAGAAGCAUCUUGUUGACAAAGGUGUCUGAUAUCUAUGGAUUCUUACUGUUUAGGAAAAAGAGAGCGGCAUAAUUUUUAUUGUCAGUUUUUUGACUAUUGGCUUUUGUGCUAUGUGUUCAUUUUAUAACUAAAUGCACGAACUGCUGUUAACAACUAGAAGUUUUUUUUUUUUUUUGCUUUUGUAUGUGUGUGUUUUCUUAAUUUAGGUCCCGAUCAAGACCCUUUUGAUAGACGGAAACUGUAGGGUGGAGGAUCGAGGCUUGAAGACUCAUCAUGGACAUGUGAGUUGUCGUCUGCUCGUGUGUAUCUGUGUGUUUGCCUUUAUACCAUUUUAGCCUGUUGAUGCUAUAAUGGUAAUGACAAAGCAAAACGUUGUUGUUGGUCGCUGAGAGAUGAGACCGUCCAACAUCAUAUAUACUUAGAAUGAUAUACAUCUAUGUACGCAUGUGUGUAUACAUAUGCAUUCUUGAUCCUCAAUCAUCAAUCGUAUAUACUUCAUAUAUUCUGUCUCCCUUCCCCUUUCACUCUCUUUCUCUCAUAGAGAGACUCGUGGACACUCUUGCUUAUUAUCUAACUUUGUGCAUAACUGUUUAUGAAAUUCCGAUACUGUUGGAAUGUUCCAAUAGCGGUUAUACUCUAAUUGCGCUAUAACUUUAUCCUUAAGAUAGAACACUUAUUUGUACUUCAUUUAACUUACUCAUGGUUUAUUUUUGCAGAUGGUUUAUGUUUUGUCUGUUUACAGCAAGAAAGAGAAGUACCACAGAAUCACGGUUUGUUGUUUUUAUUUUAUGGAAAUAGCUUGUAUUCUUUGAUGCUUAAUAACCUGAGCUUGGUUGGUUAGUUGUUUGAAUAGAGAAACUGAAACAUGUUUUUGGUUUUGCACUUGGUUUUAUUAUGUAGACACAUCCUUGGAUUCCACUUUGAUUGCUCUUAAUGGUUAUGGUGUAUUCCUAAUUGAGUUAAUCUCUUUAUUAUGGGGUUAUAACUUGAAUUUAUCAUAACAUGGGACUGAAAAAUGUUCAUUGUGGAACUAGAGUGAUAUCUGUUUUCAGGGUGAUACUAUCCACUGUGUUUGUCUGCGGCUGUGCGAGCAUAAUUGACACAUGUUUUGGAUUUACUAUUUGGCCUCUUUGAUUAAUGUGUUUCUUCUCACAAUUCGUUGUGUCCUGUACAUCCAGUUUCAAAAUCUUAUGCUUUUGAAUAUUGGGAACCUAAAAUAAAUCCAUUUCUGCAUUCUUCUUUCUAGAUGGCAGCCUUCAACAUCCAGGAGGCCUUAAUCUGGAAGGAAAAAAUUGAGUCUGUAAUUGAUCAGGUGCAUCUCUGAGCCCGUAACUUAAUUCCUGCUUUUUAGAUUUGUGUUUUGAAGUUGAUUCUCCCUUAUCAACUUCUGUUGCAAUGGGUUUAGGGUGAGAAUUUUCUUAGUGAACUGAAUACAUUGUGUUUAUAUAUUAUGUUAUACAUAUUGUGUUAAUUGUCUAGUUACAUUAUUAUCAUAUGCAGCAUCAAGAGUCACAAAUUGCAAAUGGCAACAAAUAUGUUUCUUUUGAAUAUAAAUCUGGGACGGAUAGCAGGCGAACUGCUUCCUCAUUGGACCAUGAAAGUCAGUAAGUGCCUAUUUGUCAUUAUUUUUCUAUUUGCUGUUGGCUAUGUGUGUUGAUAAAAGUGAAUGUGUUAUGUUAGUCAUGAGUCAGGUGGAUGGUGGAUGUUGGGCUGUGGGCUUAAGUCAAGCUACCUGGGUGCCUUGAAUUCUUUUGGAUCAAAUCCUCAUUCUAGAGAGUUAUUGUCAUAAAUGAGCGGGGAAAGGUUAGAAUAAUCAAAUGUGAUAAAAGGAGGUCUUAUGUUUUCUGGGAUUUCAUGCACAUCUUACAUCUUUCCAAGUGUUGCCACUUUUAAAAUAUAGCAUACAUGAAUUAUAUAAAUAUUUCAUGGUUGGAAAAGGAAUUCAUUUUCAAUGUGAGCCCAAGCGGCCAAGCAUUGUUUCUAAUCUGUUGGUUAUAGAUGAAUAUCAAGUGAUUUUCAAUAUCCUUGCAUUAUUGCUGGUUCAAUGCAUGGUUGCUCUUCUCCUUGUUUAGUGACUAACUGAACAUAGCACAGUUCAUUUGCUCCAGCUCCUAUUCAAGACUGAUUGUCAAAUUAAAAAGAAUUAAAAUGCCCUGAUUCUUAUCAGUUGUUGGUAUUUUCCCCAAUUUUUUUGGCUAUGGUAAGACAAGUGAUCCUUGGUUGAACUUUAAUUUCUUAAUUAUUUCUUAAGGUUCAGUGCCCUGGAGGACGAAGAUGAUGCUCAUCCAAAUUUGCUAAGGAGAAGGACAAUGGGAAAUGGUUCUCAUUUGAUUUCCAUUUUAAUUUACUUUACAUUAUUUUGUACAAUUAUCGGAAUCUCAACAUUUUUAUAAUAAUGUCAGGUCUUCCAGAUUCAGUAUUUGACUGGACACGGGAAUUUUACUCAGAAUUAUCAAAUCAAAAUGCCAACAACCAAGCAUUUUCCGGAAAACAUUGGCGCCUCCUUCAAUGUCAAAAUGGUUAGUUUUUCAUUUAUUAUUCCAUUUUAUUGGCUUUAAAGUUCAAUCCAUGUAUGAAAAUCUCAAAAAAUAGUUUGGAGUGGAAGGUUGUUUUAAUUACCAUAAUACUGCAGGCAUUGAUGGAUCAUUCUGAAUCCAAACCUUUCUUUGAUAUGACAGGACUUCGCAUUUUUGAAGAGCUUCUUGAAGUUGAUUACCUUGUCUGAAACUUUUUCUUUGCUUGCUUUAGGCCUUUUAUUUAUUUAUCUUUUUCAGUGCAUUAAAAUGUUCUGGGUGUUAAACGUUGCUUAUUUUUUCUUUAUCUAGCCAAAGAGCUGUUGUAGGGCAAUGAAGGCUGUGGGUGUCGUGGAAGCUACUUGUGAGGAAAUAUUUGGUCUUGUAAUGAGCAUGGAUGGAACUCGGUUUGAGUAGGUGUUUUUGCAAUUAAAAAAAAUAUAUUUUAAGGUUUUUAAAUGCAUGCCUUUAUGCGUCCAUACUAUUUGGGAGAAUAUGCUGAAAAUUUAUUUGCUUUAAAUAAUCUAGGAACUUUCCAUAUUUCAUUUUCAUCCUUUUUACCUUCUGCAGGUGGGAUUGUAGUUUUCAGUAUGGUAGUUUAGUUGAAGAGGUAGACGGGCAUACAGCUAUACUUUAUCACAGGCUUCAGUUGGAUUGGUUCCCUACGUAAUAAUUUCUCUCCAAUUUAAAUCAUUUUCUUUUUAUGCUUUCAUUGUAUUGAAUAUUUAUCUUUGAAGCAUUACCAGUAUAGUUUUUGGUGUUUUGGGAACCAAAAUUGCUAGGAAAGUACAAAUCAGAGCUUCUAAACCCCCUUUUAGCCCAUUUCUUUGAUGCAAGACAAACUUUAAUUUCUAACAAUAUAAUGCCAAAACUGGAUAGGUUAAUCCUAGUAUGCUGGAUGAAUGCUGGUAAGCACCAAAAGAAGGAAUGAUAAAAGAUCAAACUUCACUGUAUCAAUAAAAUGCAAGGAAAAGAAAAAGAAAACUGAGCAAGUGGAAACAGAAAAGAAAAGAACUAGAGAGGGAGAGAGAUGAGUAUGUGCUGGUGUCUUUACGAGAAUCAAAGAAUUGAAUCUUUUGCAUUCUGGUUGUUGCCCUCUAACUUUGCUAUUUUACAGAAGUACUGGCUAGUAAUCUGAAAUGGGCUGUCAACAAGACUGGUGAAGGGUUGACGGUUUUUUCCUCUAAAAUUUCUUCACCAUAAACCUUUGUAUGAUACAUUCACUAUUUUUUUUUCUGAUGACAAAGAAGGAACUUUUGAAUUUUUACUUUACUGUUGUAGGAGUGAGCAUACUGUUAUUAUUAUCCAAGGUUUAUUUAUACUUUGAUCACUUCAUUGAGGAUUAUAUAUGUGAUCUUAUACUUGUAGAAUGUUUCUAAAAUUAUGCACCGUUUUCAAAAGCAAUCUUGUUUCUUCUUCCUUCAUGAAGUAUGGGCAAUUUUUCAAAUGCAUGGCUCAUGUUUUUGCAGGUUUAUAUGGCCCCGUGACCUUUGUUACGUGCGAUAUUGGCGUCGAAAUGAUGAUGGAAGCUAUGGUAAGUUCUUUGCAGAUUUUUUUGUUUAUUGAACUAUAUGCUUAUUUUUCUAUCUUCAGAAAUAUCUCCUUUUUUCUUCUUUUGUUUAUUGUGCAGUUGUAUUGUUCCGUUCUAGGGAGCAUGAGAAUUGUGGCCCACAACCAGGAUACGUGCGGGCUCAUGUUGAGAGUAAGCUCUAUGUGAAUCCCUUGGUUGUGCUGAGACUUGAAAGAUGAAUACUCAGUUUGUAUUAUAAUGCAUAUUCUAUACUGUAAUUUGCUCAGGUGGAGGGUUCAACAUUUCCCCUCUGAAAUCUCGAAAUGGGAAGCCGAGGACCCAGGUGCAGCAUCUCAUGCAGAUUGAUUUAAAAGGAUGGGGAGUGGGUUAUAUUUCAUCGUUUCAGCAACACUGUCUUCUUCAUAUGUUAAAUAGUGUUGCUGGUGAGUUCUUUUUCUCUAUUUCGCAUGUUCAAAUUUUGCAGUAUUUUGGCAAUUUGAUAUCACAGUGAAAGAUAGGAUGUUUUUAAUGUUUCCAUGGUUUACCGUAGUGUCAUAAGGGAUUUACUUGUCUAUGUACCCUUCCAUUCGAUCUCUUAGGUCCUGCCUUACCUUACCUCGACGGUUAUACCACGAUGCCCUUAACUUAAAGCCUAAGCCUAUAUGCGAUGUAUAGACUCCUGCAACCAUGACAUAUUUGUUUACUUGAACAUAAUUUCAUUUCUUUCUAAAAGAACUAAAAGAAAUGAUAAUGGCUUCUUGUUCUCACUAUUUCAAUCAACAUAUAGAAAAAAAAGUUCUUUUUUUUCUGAUACCAGUGUGGUCUGCAUCUCGACAUCCGACUAUUGUCCAAG